CAUAAGCCAGCUUGACUGCGAGCGUGACGGCGCGAGCAGGUGCGAAAGCAGGUCAUAGUGAUCCGGUGGUUCUGAAUGGAAGGGCCAUCGCUCAACGGAUAAAAGGUACUCCGGGGAUAACAGGCUGAUACCGCCCAAGAGUUCAUAUCGACGGCGGUGUUUGGCACCUCGAUGUCGGCUCAUCACAUCCUGGGGCUGAAGUAGGUCCCAAGGGUAUGGCUGUUCGCCAUUUAAAGUGGUACGCGAGCUGGGUUUAGAACGUCGUGAGACAGUUCGGUCCCUAUCUGCCGUGGGCGCUGGAGAACUGAGGGGGGCUGCUCCUAGUACGAGAGGACCGGAGUGGACGCAUCACUGGUGUUCGGGUUGUCAUGCCAAUGGCACUGCCCGGUAGCUAAAUGCGGAAGAGAUAAGUGCUGAAAGCAUCUAAGCACGAAACUUGCCCCGAGAUGAGUUCUCCCUGAGACUUUAGGUCUCCUGAAGGAACGUUGAAGACGACGACGUUGAUAGGCCGGGUGUGUAAGCGCAGCGAUGCGUUGAGCUAACCGGUACUAAUGAACCGUGAGGCUUAACCUUACAACGCCGAAG
rnacentral:rRNA from 1 species